ensembl:lncRNA
CUGAAGGAUGGAAAUUUAUGGUUAAAGAGCAUUUCUCAAAAAUGAAUGUUGUGUUCAUUUCUGGUUUAUUGUAUUUGCUUUUUUUUUCUGUUUGUUUUGUUUUAUAGGCCACCCUUUGAGACCUGGUGAAAGAUAAUCCGGAGCAAUUAUGUUCUGCAGUAAAAAGAAAUCACUCGAAGCAGAACGGAUAGUAAAAGCCAAUGACCGUGAAUAUAAUGAGAAGUUCCAGUACACAGUGAGUAAAAUACACAUAGCACACACAUGGUGGGGGAAGGUCUUACCUUAGGGAUAGUAGGAUUCAUGCCUUCUAGAACUGUGACUUUAGUGAAAACUUUGUUGGCAUAUUUUUAGUAGGAAGGUGCCAUAUAUUUCUAUAAAUUCAGAUUUUAGUAAUGUUUAUCCAUUUACUUCCAUUCUGCUCCGAGUGGUUGGUAUUCAAAUUGGUAUGAGAAUAAGAUAAAGUACCUUCUUUCAUAAGAAUUGAUGCUUAUUUUGUUUUGGUGCCCACUGGACAUGAGGAAAAUGUAAGAAUACUAUGAAAACAGGCCUUUGUGGUUGUACCUGGUGAAGGAAAUGGUAGUUGUGGCUGCUGGGUGAUGAGUAACAUUUUGGGAUUUUUCUGUAAGCAACUCAGGCUGAAUAUGGAAAAAUACAUGUAGGAGAAAAUUCUCAGACCUGAAUGACUGUAUUUACCAAGUGAGCAGUGAGAAUGAUUAGUUAAAAUGUGUGGAGAUUCAAGCUUGUACUGAACUACUUUUUUUAAAAUGAGGGUUUUCUCCACUUCCAUAAGAAAUACUUCUUGAGAGUCUACUACUGGCACUAUUCUAGGAAUUUAGGAUAUAUUGGUGAACACUUCAUGAAUUAUAUCAUGGGCCCUUAUAAAAAUCUCAUCUUUCCUUCAUUCAACCUAAGUUGCUACAUGGAGGUUUUUUGUUUUUUGUUUUUUUAAUUUUUUUAAAUAAAUUCUAAGAAAGAUAGCUGUUAGAAUUGAUA